GAUGAAGAACGUAGCGAAAUGCGAUACUUGGUGUGAAUUGCAGAAUCCCGUGAACCAUCGAGUCUUUGAACGCAAGUUGCGCCCGAAGCCAUUAGGCCGAGGGCACGCCUGCCUGGGCGUCACACGUCGUUGCCCCCCCAUCUACUCCUUCGGGAUUGCGGGGGGCGGAUGAUGGCCUCCCGUGCGCCUCGCCGCGCGGUUGGCAUAAAUGCCAAGUCCUCGGCGACGCACGCCACGACAAUCGGUGGUUGCGAAACCUCGGUUGCCCGUCGUGUGCGGUCGUCGCGCAUCGAGGGCUCGAAAAAAUUGCCGGGUUCCGGCUCGGCUUUCAACGCGACCCCAGGUCAAGCGGGGUUACCCGCUGAAUUUAAGCAUAUCAUAAGCGGAGGA
rnacentral:misc_RNA from 1 species